rnacentral:rRNA from 1 species
AUACGGAGGACGCGAGCGUUAUCCGGGUUCAUUGGGUUUAAAGGGUGCGCAGGCGGCCGUGCAAGUCAGCGGUGAAAGCCCGGGGCCCAACCCCGGAAGUGCCGUUGAUACUGCAUGGCUUGAAUGCGGUCGAGGCGGGCGGAACGUGGCGUGUAGCGGGGAAAUGCGUAGAUAUGCCACAGAACGCCGAUAGCGGAGGCAGCUCGCCAGGCCUGCAUUGACGCUCGGGCACGAAAGCGUGGGGAUCGAACAGGAUUAGAUACCCUGGUAGUCCACGCCGUAAACGAUGGGCGCUCGUCGUCGGCGACAGACAGUCGGCGGCCAAGCGAAAGCGAUAAGCGCCCCACCUGGGGAGUACGGUCGCAAGGCUGAAACUCAAAUGAAUUGACGGGG